GCUUUACACAUGCAAGUCGUACGAAAGUUUUUAACUUAAGUGGCGGACGGGUGAGUAACACGUAAGUAAUCUGCCUGGAAAUUGGGGAUAGCCUGUGGAAACACAGGGUAAUACCGAAUACGCCCUAUAAAUGGGAAUUUAUAGGGGAAAGGGGCUAAGGCCUCGUUUCCAGAUGAGCUUGCGGUUCAUUAGCUAGUUGGUGGGGUAAAGGCCUACCAAGGCGACGAUGAAUAGCCGGCCUGAGAGGGUGACC
rnacentral:rRNA from 1 species